rnacentral:rRNA from 1 species
CCGCCCGUCACAUCACGAAAAGUGGGCCGUACUAGAAGCAGGUGUGCUAACCGCAAGGAGGCAGCCUUCCAAGGUACAGCUCAUGAUUGGGGUG